rnacentral:rRNA from 1 species
AGAGUUUGAUCAUGGCUCAGAACGAACGCUGGCGGCAGGCUUAACACAUGCAAGUCGAACGCACCGCAAGGUGAGUGGCAGACGGGUGAGUAACGCGUGGGAACGUGCCCUUCAGUUCGGGAUAACCCAGGGAAACUUGGGCUAAUACCGGAUACGUGCGAGAGCAGAAAGAUUUAUCGCUGAAGGAUCGGCCCGCGUCUGAUUAGCUAGUUGGUGGGGUAAUGGCCCACCAAGGCGACGAUCAGUAGCUGGUCUGAGAGGAUGAUCAGCCACAUUGGGACUGAGACACGGCCCAAACUCCUACGGGAGGCAGCAGUGGGGAAUAUUGGACAAUGGGCGCAAGCCUGAUCCAGCCAUGCCGCGUGAGUGAUGAAGGCCUUAGGGUUGUAAAGCUCUUUCGUCCGGGACGAUAAUGACGGUACCGGAAGAAGAAGCCCCGGCUAACUUCGUGCCAGCAGCCGCGGUAAUACGAAGGGGGCUAGCGUUGUUCGGAAUCACUGGGCGUAAAGGGCGCGUAGGCGGCCUGAUAAGUCGGGGGUGAAAGCCUGUGGCUCAACCACAGAAUUGCCUUCGAUACUGUCGGGCUUGAGACCGGAAGAGGUAAGUGGAACUGCGAGUGUAGAGGUGAAAUUCGUAGAUAUUCGCGAACCCGUGGCGAAGGCGGCUUACUGGUCCGGUUCUGACGCUGAGGCGCGAAAGCGUGGGGAGCAAACGGAUUAGAUACCCNNGUAGUCC